UGCGUCAUGUGGAUGUGUCUUCAGAUUAUUUCAGCGUGGAUUGCUUGUGAACAAAAUUAUUCAAGCUUUGCAAAGGAAUUGUCAUUGUAGGAUGGGGCAGUUAAAAACUCUGCUGGGCCCGAUCAAAAAUAGUGACGUCUUUGCCAUUCCAUUCUGCUCUGUGGUUUGCUUUCAUUCAUUGCUGGGUCAACCGACUGUGUGUCAAAAUUCAUGAACGAGGAAGAGCUUGCCUGAGAAGCUAAAUGUUUGGUCUUCAAAAGAGAAGGGUUGCUUCUAACAUGCCUGUGGGUAACCCAUACUGUACAUUAUAGUCGAGAGACGGCCGUCUUCAUUUGAGAUGGAAUAAGGGGGAGUAUAUGAUCAGAGAGAGGGAAGGAGAGAUGGAGA